GAUGAACGCUGGCGGCGUGCCUAAUACAUGCAAGUCGAGCGAACAGAUGAGGAGCUUGCUCCUCUGACGUUAGCGGCGGACGGGUGAGUAACACGUGGAUAACCUACCUAUAAGACUGGGAUAACUUCGGGAAACCGGAGCUAAUACCGGAUAAUAUAUUGAACCGCAUGGUUCAAUAGUGAAAGACGGUUUUGCUGUCACUUAUAGAUGGAUCCGCGCCGCAUUAGCUAGUUGGUAAGGUAACGGCUUACCAAGGCAACGAUGCGUAGCCGACCUGAGAGGGUGAUCGGCCACACUGGAACUGAGACACGGUCCAGACUCCUACGGGAGGCAGCAGUAGGGAAUCUUCCGCAAAGGGCGAAAGCCUGACGGAGCAACGCCGCGUGAGUGAUGAAGGUCUUCGGAUCAUAAAACUCUGUUAUUAGGGAAGAACAAAUGUGUAAGUAACUAUGCACGUCUUGACGGUACCUAAUCAGAAAGCCACGGCUAACUACGUG
rnacentral:rRNA from 1 species